GUCCUCUAUACUGAACUGUAUAAUGACCUAUCAGGUCCUCUAUACUGGACUGUAUAAUGACCUAUCAGGUCCUCUAUACUGAACUGUAUAAUGACCUAUCAGGUCCUCUAUACUGAACUGUAUAAUGACCUAUCAGGUCCUCUAUACUGGACUGUAUAAUGACCUAUCAGGUCCUUUUUUUCUGCAGCGGUGGCAAAGUUAGUGUAGUGGGUGUGGCCAAUGGCACGGUCUCCAACCGAAAAUGAGCAGAGAUAUUUUGGUGUUUUAAAGCUAAAUGUCCUUCAAUUCUACACAUGUUGCUGUGGCUUAUGGCGUGUUCUUAUGCUAUCUGAAUGACUCAAACAGUAUAACUAAAUCAAUGCGGGCCCCAGGACAUGAUAUUUGGGGAAUUUUGAUUCUCCUGACUAAUUUUUAUUUUGG
ensembl:lncRNA